GACGAACGCUGGCGGCGUGCUUAACACAUGCAAGUCGAACGGUGACCCUCGGAGCUUGCUUCGGGGUGAGCAGUGGCGAACGGGUGAGUAACACGUGAGUAACCUGCCCCUGACUCUGGAAUAAGCGCUGGAAACGGCGUCUAAUACCGGAUACGACACGCCUCCGCAUGGGGAGCGUGUGGAAAGUUUUUCGGUCUGGGAUGGACUCGCGGCCUAUCAGCUUGUUGGUGAGGUAAUGGCUCACCAAGGCGAUGACGGGUAGCCGGCCUGAGAGGGCGACCGGCCACGCUGGGACUGAGACACGGCCCAGACUCCUACGGGAGGCAGCAGUGGGGAAUAUUGCACAAUGGGCGAAAGCCUGAUGCAGCGACGCCGAGUGAGGGAUGACGGCCUUCGGGUUGUAAACCUCUUUCAGCAGGGAAGAAGCGAAAGUGACGGUACCUGCAGAAGAAGCACCGGCUAACUACGUGCCAGCAGCCGCCGCGGUAA
rnacentral:rRNA from 1 species